rnacentral:lncRNA from 1 species
UGAAAGCUAAAAAAUUAUUUUUCAACAUUUUUAUAAAUUAUUUCAAUUUACCUGCUGUCUUAAGUUCAACAAGAUUAUUGAUGGCUCAAAAGAUGUAACUUCACUCUAAAUUAUUUAUACUGCUCUAAUAAAUUUAUUAAGGAAUGGCACUCAUCUACUCAGGACAAAUAAAAUUGCUUUAUCUAUCUUAAGAACUUCUUUUCUGGAAAAAAAUAUUUUUAAAAGCCUCUUCUGUAUUCAAAAGUGAUGAUGUUGAAGGCAAUGAGAACUUUCUAUUUGACGAAACAAUUCUACUCUUUUUCCUUAUGCUUUGUCAGAAUGAGUUGGAGAGGAGAUUGACAUAGAAGCCUUUAGAGGAAUUUCAUAAGGGCUAACGAAUAUUCACUCAUCCAACAGUGUUCAUUGAGCAAUUUCUAUUUCCUAGGCUCCAAGCUAGGUUCACACAAUUAAACAGAACAGUGGGGACAGUCCUGGUUCCCACAUUCGAUCAGACAAUUAUUAUUCUAAAGGCACUAGUUGGAGAUUGGCUAAAAGCUGCUUGCAGCUCAUUUUGAAAAGAGAUUGGUAUAAAUUAUGAGUAAAUUAGUUAAAUACAAACUUUGAUGGACAUUAACCACUUUUUCUUCGUGUUAUUUUUUGCCAGGCACUGAAAGUCUUCAAGGCUGUCUUCCUCUAGUAAAUAAAAUAUGAUUUUAAAUACCCUGAACAUCUUCUCCUCAUUUGCGCCAGGGAGUUAACUAAGAUCCACCAUGAACGUAAUACUUAAUUUGGUAUCACUAUCCUUUUGAGAGAGACCAGUCUUUCCUGGCUUAAUUCCGGAACGGAAUACUGGGAGAGCUCAUUAUUAUUCUCGUUCCUUUUAAGGUUCCACUUUGGAAACAAAGUGAUUGAGAGGCACAUUCUAAGAGAAACUCAUCAGGAUGAGCUCAGCCGCUCCUGAUGAUGAUUUGGAAGUUGAUGUAAUUUUUUUGGGUCGGAUUAAGAUCUGGCAUUUUACCGAGCCAAAUCCUCUGUUUAAUUAUAGAGGCUUCUGGGAUGCAAUGGGAAUUGGUGACAAGAUGAUGGAUCAGUUUCUCCAUAUCAGCUGGUUGAUCCCACAAACCUAAAGCAGAUAUUGACAUUUGUCAUUCAACGUUGGAGCCCUCCAUACUCCUCUGCUGAUUAGUCAAAUACUUCACCUCCCUUUAAUUAAUGUUUUAAGAGCAGAGCCUCACAGAGAUGCUCAAGGGAGCAAAGUUUUACAAUAAAAUAGAAAAGAAAGGUUACA